CCCUUAGGGUUUGAUCCUGGCGCAGGAUGAACGCUAGCGGCAGGCUUAACACAUGCAAGUCGAGGGGUAACAGGAAUAGCUUGCUAUUUGCUGACGACGCACGGGUGCGUAACGCGUAUACAAUCUACCUUUUACAGAGGGAUAGCCCAGAGAAAUUUGGAUUAACACCUCAUAGUAUUAUAAGAUGGCAUCAUUUCAGAAUUAAAACUUCGGUGGUAAAAGAUGAGUAUGCGUUCUAUUAGCUAGUAGGUAAGGUAACGGCUUACCUAGGCGACGAUAGAUAGGGGUCCUGAGAGGAAGACCCCCCACACUGGUACUGGAACACGGACCAGACUCCUACGGGAGGCAGCAGUGAGGAAUAUUGCGCAAUGGGGGAAACCCUGACGCAGCGACGCCGCGUGGAUGAUGAAGAUUUUCGGAUCGUAAAGCUCUGUCAAGCGGGAAAAAAUUCUUUCGGUCAAUAGCCGGAAGAACUGAUGGUACCACUGGAGGAAGCACCGGCUAACUCCGUGCCAGCAGCCGCGGUAAUACGGAGGGUGCAAGCGUUGUUCGGAUUUACUGGGCGUAAAGAGCGUGUAGGCGGUUUAGCAAGUCAGAUGUGAAAGCCCUGGGCUCAACUCAGGAAGUGCAUUUGAAACUGCUAUACUAGAGUAUGGGAGAGGAGAUUGGAAUUCCCAGUGUAGAGGUGAAAUUCGUAGAUAUUGGGAGGAACACCGGUGGCGAAGGCGACUCUCUGGACCAAUACUGACACUGAGACGCGAAAGCGUGGGGAGCAAACAGGAUUAGAUACCCUGGUAGUCCACGCCGUAAACGAUGAGGACUAGGUGUAGCGGGUAUUGACCCCUGCUGUGCCGCAGCUAACGCAUUAAGUUCUCCGCCUGGGGAGUACGGCCGCAAGGCUAAAACUCAAAGGAAUUGACGGGGGCCCGCACAAGCGGUGGAGCAUGUGGUUUAAUUCGACGCAACGCGAAGAACCUUACCUGGAUUUGUGACAUCCCGAGAAGCUCUUGGAAACAAGAGUGUGCCUCUUUGAGGAACUUGGUGACAGGUGCUGCAUGGCUGUCGUCAGCCCGUUUCGUUAGAGGGUGGGUUAAUUCCCUCAACUAGCGCAACCCCUAUCUUUAGUUGCCAUUAUUAAUUUGUGCACUCUAAAGAGACGUCCUGUGUCAAACCGGAGGAGGGUGGGGAUGACGUCAAGUCCUCAUGUCCUUUAUGACCAGGGCUACACACGUACUACAAUGGCAUGUACAAAGGGCAGCGAGCACGCGAGUGUCAGCGAAUCCCAUAAAGCAUGUCUCAGUCCGGAUUGGAGUCUGCAACUCGACUCCAUGAAGUUGGAAUCGCUAGUAAUCGUGGAUCAGCAUGCCACGGUGAAUACGUUCCCGGGCCUUGUACACACCGCCCGUCACACCACGAAAGUCGGUUGUUCCAGAAGCGGUUGGGCUAACCCCUUUUGGGGAGGCAGGUACCUAAGGUACGGCCGGUAAUUGGGGUGAAG
rnacentral:rRNA from 1 species